GAUGAACGCUGGCGGCGUGCCUAAUACAUGCAAGUCGAGCGAACAGACGAGGAGCUUGCUCCUCUGACGUUAGCGGCGGACGGGUGAGUAACACGUGGAUAACCUACCUAUAAGACUGGGAUAACUUCGGGAAACCGGAGCUAAUACCGGAUAAUAUAUUGAACCGCAUGGUUCAAUGGUGAAAGACGGUUUUGCUGUCACUUAUAGAUGGAUCCGCGCCGCAUUAGCUAGUUGGUAAGGUAACGGCUUACCAAGGCAACGAUGCGUAGCCGACCUGAGAGGGUGAUCGGCCACACUGGAACUGAGACACGGUCCAGACUCCUACGGGAGGCAGCAGUAGGGAAUCUUCCGCAAUGGGCGAAAGCCUGACGGAGCAACGCCGCGUGAGUGAUGAAGGUCUUCGGAUCGUAAAACUCUGUUAUUAGGGAAGAACAAAUGUGUAAGUAACUAUGCACGUCUUGACGGUACCUAAUCAGAAAGCCACGGCUAACUACGGG
rnacentral:rRNA from 1 species